AACAGGAGAAUGACAAUUCAAAAUUUUCCUCCUGAUUUUCAGCCUUUCCCUCCUAAAAAAAAGUCAAAUCCAACUAAAAAUGCUAAAACUCAAGAGUAAAAAGUUGACUUGUCAUUCUCCUAUU
rfam:Gossypium raimondii Chr06_contig_990, whole genome shotgun sequence.